UGAAAAAGGCUGACAGCCGCAAUACCUAGGACCCCACCCCUUGAUCGUCAUCUUCUCCGAACGAUCCUUCCUCCCCCGUUUUUCUUUUUUUCUCCAGUAAACAAGGAAGCAACCAUUUUUUCGAGCUUCAACAACCAAAACCAAACGAUCCUCCAUUCGUCAUCUUCUUCUUCAUUUUUGAAUACACACACAAAACUACAAUCAGGGAGCCCUUCUUUUUCACCUCAUAGCUUUUCCACCAUCUUCUUCACGCAUGAAAAACAGCCGCUAGCCAUUAUUAAAGCUCCCAUAUCUGACCACUAUUAUUACUUUGUUGUUCAAAUUCCUAGCGAGAUCCAAGUCGAGUAAAUAAAAGACAGAAGAAAAAUAAACAAAUUGGGAGAACACGACAGUGAUGAUAUUCAGUCCAAUAAUCGAACCAUGAAAUUCCAAUAUAAAUCAGCUCUAAAUCUCGCGUCCUCAACACUCAAAACGAGCCGUUUAGGUUUGUCUUUCUGGUUCAGUUUGAGCUUUUUGUCAAGCUUUUAGGUCGUUGAUGGUCGUUGCCUAGAGGGGCUCUGCUUCAGUCGUGCGUUGAGAUACAGUUUGUUUGGUUUCCGAUUUGAAUUUCGUCCGGGGUUCUAACGUUUGAGGUCUCCAAUACUGGUUAUGCUCGUUGUCGCCGGACUGGUAUGUAACUUUGGUCAAUUUUUGCCCGUUGUUGUCAUGUUCAAGAGUACUACUAAUGUUUAAUGAACCAUUUUGUUAAUUUUCUUACUUGGAUUAGUUAGUUUAUUCUCUUCAAUUUAUUGAUAAUCUAAGUUUAAUGUUUA
rnacentral:lncRNA from 1 species